rnacentral:rRNA from 1 species
UACGGAGGGUGCGAGCGUUGUCCGGAAUCACUGGGCGUAAAGGGCGCGUAGGUGGCGCGGGAAGUCAACGGUGAAAGUUCGGGGCUCAACCCUGAAUCGGCCGUCGAUACUCCCGGGCUCGAGCACCGUAGAGGCAGAUGGAAUUCCGGGUGUAGCGGUGGAAUGCGUAGAGAUCCGGAAGAACACCGGUGGCGAAGGCGGUCUGCUGGGCAGUUGCUGACACUGAUGCGCGACAGCGUGGGGAGCAAACAGG